UAGAUUCAUUCAAACUAACAAUGCAUAUGAGUUUGUCACAGUUUUAACAUAUGCAUUCUUCUUGCAGAUGGUUGAAAAAGAAGGUUAUCUUCAAAAAGCUAAAAUUGCAGAUGGAGGAAAGAAACUAAGUGGGAGAGUUGAUCCAGAAACAUAGCUUCUCAUUACAAUCUACCUCACUUUAAUGAUAAGUGAAAAGGAUUGAGAAGAGUGCUGUAGAUUGUGAUUUGCUACCUGGGACAAUUCUGUG